AAACAUGGUUAUGAGAAUCACCCAAAAUCGCGGGAAACGCGUCCUGUUUCUGCUUAGAGACCCGUGAGGUUGAGUUACAAUUUUUUAAUAUUAAAAAGAGAAAUAAUUUACAAGACAUCGAAUUAAUUUUUUUAGAAGUUUACAUGCAAUAUGUACCAAUUCCUAUGGACUCAUAAAAAAUAGGUGUUGUUUCUGUAAGAAAUAAAGUAGCCCUUGAAAAUCGGCCAUCGCAGCUAUUUUCAGCGAUAAUGAAAAUUGUUUUCUAUUCGUGAAUCCUUUAUACACAAGUUCUAAAGUUUAUAUUGUGCUAAUCAGUGAAGAAAUAUAUGAGGUUUCAUAUCAUUAAAUUAUUGUCUUCCUCAAUAGACGAAGAUGCUAAAUUAGUUAGAAAACAAUGAAUACUAUCAACAAAGUAAAUAGCAAGGUGGGCAUAAUUGUUGAAUCAAGAUUUGGCGAAUUCGACAAAAAUUUGGAAACAACGAGCAACAAUUUUGAGAAUGAUCAAAUGGACAUCAGUGUUAAUUGUAACAAAACUUCACCUGGUAGAAGUCGUUAUGGCAGAAUAAUAAAACCUAAGUCUCCUAAGAAUGAGGUUGCCAGUUCUCCAAAGAAUUCUAAAAUGCCAAAGAAUCGAAAAUAUCAAAAUUCAUUUGAUAGUAGUAAUGAUAGUACUGAUGAAAAUAAUACAACUAAUGAUAUGGACGAUACAAGUGAUUCUUCUAAUAGUUUAAGUAUCAUGGAAGAAACUACUCCAAAAUUAGUUGGUUCACCUAUACAAUGUAAUUGGAUUUUAGGUCAAUUAGCAUGGGCCAGAGUUGGUAAUUUUCCUUUUUGGCCUUGUGUUAUAACACUUGAUCCAGUUUUAAUGGUAUAUCAUAGGUUAAAAGCUACUGCCAGAUCACAAAUACUAAUGAUACAUGUCCAAUACUUUGGUGAUAAAGGACGUCAUAGUUGGGUUUCAUCAAAUUCUAUGAUACCAUUUACAAAUCUUGCAGACUUUAAAAAAUUAUCAGAAUCAAUCACUGCAGAAGUUAAAAAAAGAGAUGCAAAAUAUGCAGCAGCAUUUAUUGUAAAACCUGGUAUAAAAUCAAAAUGGGAAAGUGCGAUUGAAGAAGCUAUGGAAGUUCAGCCUAUGAGUAAUGAUGACAGAGCAAAUAUUUUUAAGCCAAAGGAAAAAAAUAUAAAAAAUAAAUCAUCAAAAAUAUCUGAAGAAAAGGAUAAAGUUAAUAAAAGAAAACACUCAAGUGAUUCAAAUGGUCCUGAUCUUAAACGUACUAAACAAGAUAAUGUAUGUGAGUUACACAAAUCAUUACAAGACAAAACAGAUGGUACAAAAUCAAAUAUACUCAAAUACAUUGAGAAUGGUAAGAAUCAUUCAAAACUCAAUUCAGAUACUCCUCCAUUAUCUCCUUUAAGUCAAAGAGAUUCAAAUGAUGAAGUUUCUCUCAUGCAAAAAGUUGAAUUUCGAACUGAAGAAGAUAUAGAUGGUGUCUUUGAGGUUUAUUAUGAACGAAAUAGAGAUAUGUUAGAAGAUGAAUAUCCGGAUGCAUCAGAACAUGAUAUCAGAAAAUAUUUAAGAAAGACUUGGGAUAAUAUGAAUUCUUCUUUUCGCAAAAAGUACCGAUCGUAUGUAACUUCAGACACUUCUAAUGUUCAUGCAAAAGAAAAUUCGUUAGAUCAGGAAGAUGAUUUAUUGAUAGAAAUAGAUGGAAAUACUAAAGAUAAUAAAAAAUCUAAAAUCAAAGUUGAAAAAGAAGAGAUAAAUAUUUCAGAAACGAAGAAAAAUAGACCUUAUAAUCUUUUUAAAGGAAUGAAACAAGAGAAAGUUUGUCAAAUAUGCGAAAAAACUGGAAAAUUAACUAGGUGUAAAGGUCCUUGUUAUUCGUAUUUUCAUCUUUCUUGUGUCAAACCAGGAGAAUCUAGUCCAGAACAUUCCAUUGAUGAGAAUAUCAUGGAUGAUAAGAUUCUUGAUGAUAUAAAGGAGAUUAAACAAAAUAAUAUUGAUGAUGAUGAGAAUAAUGGCAAAUCAGAAGAACAAGAAGAUGAGUUCUUUAAAUGUAUUGAUUGUUUAUCAGGAGUAGCACCUGCUUGUUUUAUAUGUAAUGAAAGAGAAGGAGAUAGAAUAAGAUGUUCUGUAUUAGCUUGUGGAAAACAUUAUCAUUCAUCUUGCUUAAAAUCAUGGCCACAAUCUCAUUGGCAAGGAGGCCGUUUGACUUGUCCGUAUCACAUAUGUCAUACAUGCAGUUCAGACAAUCCUCAGGAUAGUCAUUCAAGAGCUCCAAAUGAGAAAUUGGCACGAUGUGUUCGUUGUCCUUCGUCUUAUCAUACAUCUACAUCUUGUUUACCUGCUGGUUCAGUGAUUUUAACUGGUAGUCAAAUAGUUUGUCCAAAGCAUUAUCAACCACCACAACCUCCAGUAAAUGCAGCAUGGUGUUUUUUAUGUACAAGAGGUGGAAGUCUAAUUUGUUGUGAUACAUGUCCAACAUCAUUUCAUUUAGAAUGUUUAGGUAUCAAUGCUCCUGAUGGUGCAUUUAUUUGUGAAGAUUGUGAAACAGGUAGAUUGCCUUUAUAUGGAGAAGUUGUUUGGGUUAAACUUGGUAAUUAUCGUUGGUGGCCAUCUCGUAUUUGUUAUCCUCAUGAAAUUCCUGAAAAUAUAGAAGCUAUAGCACAUAGUCCUGGUAAAUUUUGCGUAAUGUUCUUAGGAUCGAAUAAUUAUCAUUGGAUUCAUAGAGGACGUGCUUUUUUGUAUCAAGAUGGUGAUGCAAAUAUAAAACCACCAAUCGGUAAAAAAAACCGAGAUGAUACUUAUCGUAAGGCAUUAGAAGAAGCCAAUGAGAUUCAUCAACGUUUAAAAAUUGAAAGAGCUGCCGCUAAAGACCAUGGACCACGUGGAUUGAAACCUCCACAUUAUGUUAAAUUAAAGGUGAAUAAACCAGUUGGUAAUGUAAAGCCAGUAGAAGUUGAAAGUAUUGUUGCAUGUGAUUGUGAUCCAGAAUGGGAAAACCCAUGUGCACCAGGAACAGAUUGUCUUAAUCGAAUAUUAUUAGUUGAAUGUAGCCCUGGCAUUUGUCCAGCUGGUCCCAAAUGUAACAAUCAAGCAUUUGUACGAAGACAAUAUCCAGCUAUGGAACCAUUUCAUACUAUAGGACGUGGUUGGGGUCUUAGAAGUUUAGAACACAUUAAAGCUGGACAGUUUGUUAUAGAAUAUGUAGGUGAAGUUAUAGAUGAGGCUGAAUACAAACGAAGACUACAUAGAAAAAAGGAAUUAAAAAAUGAGAAUUUUUAUUUUCUAACUAUAGAUAAUAAUAGAACAAUCGAUGCAGAACCAAAAGGCAAUCUUAGUCGAUUUAUGAAUCAUUCGUGUUCACCUAAUUGUGAAACUCAAAAGUGGACAGUAAAUGGAGAUACACGUAUAGGUCUGUUUGCAUUAUGCGAUAUUGAGCCUGGCGAAGAAUUGACUUUUAAUUAUAAUUUAGCUUGUGAUGGAGAAACUCGAAAGCCUUGUUUAUGUGGUGCAUCAAAUUGUAGUGGAUUUAUAGGUUUAAAAGUGCAGAAACCGCAAAUAACAACACCUUCAAUUCAACAAAAAAAAAUUGAAAAAUUUGAUAAAAUAAAACGUCAAAAAAGAUCGAGAAAGCAUGUAUUAUGCUGGAGUUGUGGACAAGAAAUUGAAAAAUUAGCAGAAUUUGUCAUUUGUGAUCAAAAGACAUGUAAUAAGAAAUACCAUAAAACUUGUGUAAUCAUUGAUGAUACAGAUUCAAGAUUUAGUUGUCCUUGGCAUCGCUGUGCAGAAUGUCGCCGUAGAACAUCUGCACAUUGUUCCUUCUGUAGUGCUGCUUUUUGUCAAGUGCAUCUGGAUGGAAAUCUAUUUGAGUACAGCGAAAAGGGUGGUUUUGUCUGUAAACUGCAUGAAAAUAUGGAUAUGCAGAGAUCUUCUGUAGAAGAUGAAAAAGAUUAUUCGGAUAAUGAUACUGAAACAGACAAAGAAUACUCGUCUACAGGUUCCAAUAGUCCGUUAUUAACAAUGGAAAAAUCAAUACCAAGAGAACCAUCACCAAGAGUUUCCAUAGUGGAGCAUCCUCUCCCUGACAUUGGCAGUAGUGAGAAGUAGUAACAAACAAACAUGUUCUGUUUAAGUUUAUACGUUCAAGUGAGUGUAUAUUUUUUUGGUACUAUCUCUUUGGACCUCUGAUUUAUAAUAUGAUCAUAGUUCAUCCAAGUAGUGAAGAAAGUGAAGAAUCUCAAAAAGAAGACGACGAAGAAGCAAUACAGUUUGCUGAUUUUAUGCCUUGUGAUUCAAAAAAUAUGAAACGAAAAGAAUUACACCGAUUAUCUCUAAGAUUGAAAGGAGGGAAAGAUCAGGUAGAAAAAUUAAGUAAUCUUACAUCUAGUCAAUUGGAGGCUAUAAUCGGUGGCAGUCUACUUGAGUGAACUAUUUAUCCUUAUUAAUUAGGAUUAAACAAUAAAAUAUAUUUUAAUGUGCAUAGUCUCAAAAUCUCCACAAUUGAUAAAUCACGAAUUAUGUAAUGAUAAAUGCGAACUGUGAACGCCAAUAUAGUAGUAUUUGUAAUUAUAUACAUUGUUUGUAAAACACUCAUUCCAUGUCAAAGGGAUCAGUUGAAUAACUAAUUUUAAUAAAUUCUAAUUCUACUAUCAUGAAAAUAAGUUUUAUUUUUAAUGAUGAUAAUUUUGAAUAUACCUAUGUUACAUAAUUUAAUGAGUUAUAUACAUAUUCAUACAUUGCAUUUAUGAAUCAUAUGCAUAUGUAUGUAUACGCGCUCACACGUGACGAGCAUUCAUCUAAUCGGAUUGACAUGGAAUGCUUUUUUUUUUUAAUUUACGAAUAAUAUAACAUAGAAUAAAUGCAUAUAUAUUCA